UUGUGGUCCAAAGUAGUGCACUACAUUUGGCUAGGGUCCAUAGGACUGUGGUCCAAAGUAGUGCACUACAUUAGGGAUAGGGCACCAUCUGGGACACAGCUUGUAUAUAAUGUCUGUCAGGCUAGGAGGUGAAGGUGAUCCCAUGAUGUAGUAAUCCUCCUCUCAGAGCCAUCCUCCCCUCCUCUCAGAUCGAGACAGGUCCUCCUCUCAGAUCGAGACAGGUCCUCCUCUCAGAUCGUGGCAGGUCCUCCUCUCAGAUCGAGGCAGGUCCUCCUCUCAGAUCGAGACAGGUCCCUCCUCUCAGAUCGUGACAGGUCCUCCUCUCAGAUCGAGACAGGUCCUCCUCUCAGAUCGUGACAGGUCCUCCUCUCAGAUCGUGACAGGUCCUCCUCUCAGAUCGUGAGACAGGUCCUCCUCUCAGAUCGUGACAGGUCCUCCUCUCAGAUCGAGACAGAUCCUCCUCUCAGAUAGUGACAGGUCCUCCUCUCAGAUCGUGACAGGUCCUCCUCUCAGAUCGUGACAGGUCCUCCUCUCAGAUCGUGACAGGUCCUCCUCUCAGAUCGUGGGUGCUGUUACACUUGGCGGAUGCAGAAGUAGCAACACAAAUUCAACUACAACACUUAAAUGCAAGAUAUCCACAGGAAAAAAAAACUAGGCUAUAGCCUUAGAAGCAAAUUGCUCAAAUUGCUUGUUUUUUGUUCGUGAUGUUGACCAUUCCUUUCCAAGCCCUGAAUGUAUGAAAUAUAGCUUACUUUCUUUUUUCAACAUUAAAAGAAAGUCCAUCAAUAUGUAUAUUUUAUGGAUCAACAAUCUCAAAUAAACAGAUGUAUGUUAUGCACCUCUACAUCACAACAUCUGGCUUUGGAAUAAAAUCUCUCUCUAUAGCAGCCAAGGCAAUAUGUAUAUAUGUAUACAUGAUGUUCAUAUACAAUAAG